CCUACGGGUGGCAGCAGUGGGGAAUAUUGCACAAUGGGGGAAACCCUGAUGCAGCGACGCCGCGUGAGUGAAGAAGGAAUUCGGUAUGUAAAGCUCUGUCAGCAGGGAAGAAAAUGACGGUACCUGAGUAGGAAGCCCCGGCUAACUACGUGCCAGCAGCCGCGGUAAUACGUAGGGGGCAAGCGUUAUCCGGAUUUACUGGGUGUAAAGGGAGCGUAGACGGCUGUGCAAGUCCGGAGUGAAAGGCGUGGGCUCAACCCCCGGACAGCUCUUGAAACUGGACGGCUGGAGUGCAGGAGAGGUAAGUGGAAUUCCUAGUGUAGCGGUGAAAUGCGUAGAUAUUAGGAGGAACACCAGUGGCGAAGGCGGCUUACUGGACUGUAACUGACGUUGAGGCUCGAAAGCGUGGGGAGCAAACAGGAUUAGAUACCCGGGUAGUC
rnacentral:rRNA from 1 species